rnacentral:rRNA from 1 species
UACGGAGGAUCUGAGCGUUAUCCGGAUUUAUUGGGUUUAAAGGGUGCGCAGGCGGGGGAUUAAGUCGGCGGUGAAAUUUUGCAGCUCAACUGUAAAAGUGCCUUCGAAACUGGUUUCCUUGAGUGUAGAUGAAGUAGGCGGAAUUUGUGGUGUAGCGGUGAAAUGCAUAGAUAUCACGAGGAACUCCGAUUGCGCAGGCAGCUUACUAAACUACUACUGACGCUCAGGCACGAAGGCGUGGGGAUCAAACAGGAUUAGAUACCCGGGUAGUCCCU